GUACUACUCCUUCCGUCCGAAAAAGCUUGUCCCUCAAAUGGAUGUAUCUAGCACUAACUUGGUGCUAGAUAUGUCUAUUUGAGAGACAAGCUUUUCCGGACGGAGGGAGUACUUA
rfam:Triticum urartu cultivar G1812 contig196045, whole genome shotgun sequence.